rnacentral:rRNA from 1 species
CUAAGUACCCCGAGGAAAAGAAAUCAACCGAGAUUCCCCCAGUAGCGGCGAGCGAACGGGGAGGAGCCCAGAGCCUGAAUCAGUGUGUGUGUUAGUGGAAGCGUCUGGAAAGGCGCGCGAUACAGGGUGACAGCCCCGUACACAAAAAUGCACAUAUUGUGAGCUCGAUGAGUAGGGCGGGACACGUGGUAUCCUGUCUGAAUAUGGGGGGACCAUCCUCCAAGGCUAAAUACUCCUGACUGACCGAUAGUGAACCAGUACCGUGAGGGAAAGGCGAAAAGAACCCCGGCGAGGGGAGUGAAAAAGAACCUGAAACCGUGUACGUACAAGCAGUGGGAGCCUCUUAAUGGGGUGACUGCGUACCUUUUGUAUAAUGGGUCAGCGACUUAUAUUCUGUAGCAAGGUUAACCGAAUAGGGGAGCCGAAGGGAAACCGAGUCUUAACUGGGCGUUAAGUUGCAGGGUAUAGACCCGAAACCCGGUGAUCUAGCCAUGGGCAGGUUGAAGGUUGGGUAACACUAACUGGAGGACCGAACCGACUAAUGUUGAAAAAUUAGCGGAUGACUUGUGGCUGGGGGUGAAAGGCCAAUCAAACCGGGAGAUAGCUGGUUCUCCCCGAAAGCUAUUUAGGUAGCGCCUCGUGAAUUCAUCUCCGGGGGUAGAGCACUGUUUCGGCAAGGGGGUCAUCCCGACUUACCAACCCGAUGCAAACUGCGAAUACCGGAGAAUGUUAUCACGGGAGACACACGGCGGGUGCUAACGUCCGUCGUGAAGAGGGAAACAACCCAGACCGCCAGCUAAGGUCCCAAAGUCAUGGUUAAGUGGGAAACGAUGUGGGAAGGCCCAGACAGCCAGGAUGUUGGCUUAGAAGCAGCCAUCAUUUAAAGAAAGCGUAAUAGCUCACUGGUCGAGUCGGCCUGCGCGGAAGAUGUAACGGGGCUAAACCAUGCACCGAAGCUGCGGCAGCGACACUAUGUGUUGUUGGGUAGGGGAGCG